GGGUCAGUAGGUUGGUCGUGCCACCGGUACGUACUGGUCUCACUGAUUCCUCCUUCCUGAAGAACCGUAAUGCCAUUAAUUUGGUGUUGCGGGGAAACAGGACUGUUACUUUGAAAAAAUUAGAGUGUUUAAAGCAAGCUAACGCUUGAAUACAUUAGCAUGGAAUAACGAAAUAGGGCGAUCGAUCCUAUUUUGUUGGUUUCUAGGAUUGACGUA
rnacentral:rRNA from 1 species